AUCGUAGGAGCCAAGCGUUAUCCGAAUUCACUGGGCGUAAAGCGCGUGCAGGCGGCUGGGUAAGUUGGAUGUGAAAUCUCCUGGCUCAACUGGGAGAGGCCGUUCAAUACUACCUGGCUUGAGGGCGACAGAGGGAGGUGGAAUUCCGGGUGUAGUGGUGAAAUGCGUAGAUAUCCGGAGGAACACCAGAGGCGAAGGCGACCUCCUGGGUCGUACCUGACGCUGAGAUGCGAAAGCUAGGGGAGCAAACGGG
rnacentral:rRNA from 1 species